GCCCCGGUAGCUCAGCCGGAUAGAGCGAUCGCCUCCUAAGCGAUAGGUCGCAGGUUCGAAUCCUGCCCGGGGCACCA
rnacentral:tRNA from 1 species